UACGGAGGUGGCGAGCGUUGUCCGAAGUUACUGGGCGUAAAGCGCGCGUAGGCGGGCUCUUAAGUGAGAAGUGAAAGGCUGGGGCUCAACUCCAUGCAGUGCUUCUCAUACUGGGGGUCUUGAGGGCGGUAGAGAGAAGUGGAAUUCCCGGUGUAGCGGUGAAAUGCGUAGAUAUCUGGAGGAAUACCGGUGGCGAAGGCGGCAUCCUGGACCGACAUUGACGCUGAGGAGCGAAAGCUAGGGGAGCAAACGGG
rnacentral:rRNA from 1 species